GUCCACGCUGUAAACGAUGGAUGCUAGCCGUCAGCAAGCAUGCUUGUUGGUGGCGCAGCUAACGCAUUAAGCAUCCCGCCUGGGGAGUACGGCCGCAAGGUUAAAAACUCAAAGGAAUUGACGGGGGGCCCGCACAAGCGGUGGAGCAUGUGGUUUAAUUCGACGCAACGCGAAGAACCUUACCAGCCCUUGACAUGCCCGGAGGUUUCCAGAGAUGGACUCCUCCUAGCAAUAGGUCGGGACACAGGUGCUGCAUGGCUGUCGU
rnacentral:rRNA from 1 species